AAGGAAUAUUGGUCAAUGGACGAAAGUCUGAACCAGCCAUGCCGCGUGGAGGAUGAAGGUCCUCUGGAUUGUAAACUUCUUUUAUAUGGGACGAAAAAAGGGUUUUCUAACUCGUCUGACGGUACCAUAUGAAUAAGCACCGGCUAACUCCGUGCCAGCAGCCGCGGUAAUACGGAGGGUGCAAGCGUUAUCCGGAUUCACUGGGUUUAAAGGGUGCGUAGGUGGGUUGGUAAGUCAGUGGUGAAAUCUCCGAGCUUAACUUGGAAACUGCCAUUGAUACUAUCAGUCUUGAAUAUUGUGGAGGUCAGCGGAAUAUGUCAUGUAGCGGUGAAAUGCUUAGAUAUGACAUAGAACACCAAUUGCGAAGGCAGCUGGCUACACAUCUAUUGACACUGAGGCACGAAAGCGUGGGGAUCAAAC
rnacentral:rRNA from 1 species